rnacentral:tRNA from 1 species
UGGGAUAUAGCUCAGUGGUAGAGUGCUUGCCUAGCAUGAAUGAAGCCCUGGGUUCAUUUCUCAGUUCCAUAC